rnacentral:rRNA from 1 species
ACAUUCGAUUAGGUAGUUGGAAGGGUAGAAGCCUCCCAAGCCAACGAUCGAUAGUCAAGUUUGACAGAACAGAUGACCACAUUGGGAAUGAAAUAUCCCAAGUAGCGUUACGCUACCAGCAGUCAAGAAUAUUAGUCAAUGCUCGCAAGAGUGAACUAGCUAACUGAAAUCAACGGUGUGUCACCGUUUUGAUAACGUAAGGGAGAAAAAAUGAUGUUACCUUACUAUUAGUGUCGUCCAAGUACUCGUGCCAGAAGACUCGGUAAGGCGAGAGACGCAAACGUUAGUCGUCCUGAUCAGGCGUAAAGGGUUUGUAGGCGGCUUUAAGAAUCUAAUUUUUUUAAAUAACUAUAAUAAUUACUUUAAUGUAAAUUAAUUCUAGCCCUUCGGGGUAAUAUUAAAUGUCUAAUGCCCUUCGGGGUAAAGUUAGAUUUUUUUAAUUUAGGAUAGAUUUAUUUUAUAUAAGUAAUACGGAAAAAGAAGAUCAAUUAAAGCUAGAAUCAAGAAGAGGUUAUAUUAAAUAAUACUUAGAGUAAGAUUGGUAUCUGUAAAUACUAAGCGGAAUACUAACGGCGAAGGCUUUUUUCCAAUAAUGAUUGACGCUGAGAAACUAAGGUGAGGAUAGAAAAAAGGAUUAGAGACCCUCGUAUCCCUCACUGUCAACGAUGAAUGGUAGUUACUAGGAAAUAAUAUUAUAAUAAAUUUAUAAUUAUAGAAUUAAAAUUAAUUCCACUAAAACCUAGAGGCGAUGUUAACACGAAAACCAUUCCGCCUUGUGAGUACGACUGCAAAGUUGAAAACAAAAAAAUUAGUCGGUUUCGGAGCAAACGAAGUGAAGCAUGUUAUUUAAUACGAUACCCCGCGUAAAAUCUUACCAGUCCUUGCAUAAAACUUUUUGAUUACUCUUUACUAUUAGACUACAAUUCUUAUUAUUGUUCUAGCCCAUCCCUUAAGGGAGGGGUAUAAAUAAA